UCGAACGAACUCUGGUAUUGAUUGGUGCUUGCAUCAUGAUUUACAUUUGAGUGAGUGGCGAACUGGUGAGUAACACGUGGGAAACCUGCCCAGAAGCGGGGGAUAACACCUGGAAACAGAUGCUAAUACCGCAUAACAACUUGGACCGCAUGGUCCGAGCUUGAAAGAUGGCUUCGGCUAUCACUUUUGGAUGGUCCCGCGGCGUAUUAGCUAGAUGGUGGGGUAACGGCUCACCAUGGCAAUGAUACGUAGCCGACCUGAGAGGGUAAUCGGCCACAUUGGGACUGAGACACGGCCCAAACUCCUACGGGAGGCAGCAGUAGGGAAUCUUCCACAAUGGACGAAAGUCUGAUGGAGCAACGCCGCGUGAGUGAAGAAGGGUUUCGGCUCGUAAAACUCUGUUGUUAAAGAAGAACAUAUCUGAGAGUAACUGUUCAGGUAUUGACGGUAUUUAACCAGAAAGCCACGGCUAACUACGUGCCAGCAGCCGCGGUAAUACGUAGGUGGCAAGCGUUGUCCGGAUUUAUUGGGCGUAAAGCGAGCGCAGGCGGUUUUUUAAGUCUGAUGUGAAAGCCUUCGGCUCAACCGAAGAAGUGCAUCGGAAACUGGGAAACUUGAGUGCAGAAGAGGACAGUGGAACUCCAUGUGUAGCGGUGAAAUGCGUAGAUAUAUGGAAGAACACCAGUGGCGAAGGCGGCUGUCUGGUCUGUAACUGACGCUGAGGCUCGAAAGUAUGGGUAGCAAACAGGAUUAGAUACCCUGGUAGUCCAUACCGUAAACGAUGAAUGCUAAGUGUUGGAGGGUUUCCGCCCUUCAGUGCUGCAGCUAACGCAUUAAGCAUUCCGCCUGGGGAGUACGGCCGCAAGGCUGAAACUCAAAGGAAUUGACGGGGGCCCGCACAAGCGGUGGAGCAUGUGGUUUAAUUCGAAGCUACGCGAAGAACCUUACCAGGUCUUGACAUACUAUGCAAAUCUAAGAGAUUAGACGUUCCCUUCGGGGACAUGGAUACAGGUGGUGCAUGGUUGUCGUCAGCUCGUGUCGUGAGAUGUUGGGUUAAGUCCCGCAACGAGCGCAACCCUUAUUAUCAGUUGCCAGCAUUAAGUUGGGCACUCUGGUGAGACUGCCGGUGACAAACCGGAGGAAGGUGGGGAUGACGUCAAAUCAUCAUGCCCCUUAUGACCUGGGCUACACACGUGCUACAAUGGAUGGUACAACGAGUUGCGAACUCGCGAGAGUAAGCUAAUCUCUUAAAGCCAUUCUCAGUUCGGAUUGUAGGCUGCAACUCGCCUACAUGAAGUCGGAAUCGCU
rnacentral:rRNA from 2 species